rnacentral:rRNA from 1 species
AGAGAGAGACAUGCGCGCAUAUCAAUAAGCGGAGGAAAAGAAACUAACAAGGAUUCCCUUAGUAACGGCGAGUGAAGCGGGAAGAGCUCAAAUUUGAAAUCUUCAAGGUUUUACCUUGACGAAUUGUAGUUUAAAGAAGUGUUUUCUGCUGAAGUUUUGGUAAAAGUUCUUUGGAAUAGGACAUCAUAGAGGGUGAGGAUCCCGUAUUUGACCAUUAUUUUCAGCUUUGUGAUACACUUUCAAAGAGUCGGAUUGUUUGGGAAUGCAGUCCAAAAUGGGUGGUAAAUUUCAUCUAAAGCUAAAUAUUGGCGAGAGACCGAUAGCGAACAAGUACCGUGAGGGAAAGAUGAAAAGAACUUUGAAAAGAGAGUUAAACAGUACGUGAAAUUGUCAAAAGGGAAGCGUUUGACACCAGUGUUGUUUUCUCGAAAAUCAAUUAAAAAUGGCUCGAUUUUGUAUUGUUGAGACCUUAAAAGCUCACUGUACAUUUUUCGUGUCUUUUUUAAUGCACUUUUCGUUUAACAAGUCAACAUCAAGUUUCUUUUGUUGUAAAAGGGUCAUUGGAAGGUGGCUUUCUUUUCGGAGAAAGUGUUUAUAGCCUUUGGCCUCUGCAAUCGGAAGAGACUGAGGUCUGCAGCGUAGACUCUUCGGGGUUAGAUACAUUUGUGCUAAGUUAUAGCUUUUAUAGACAACUUGUUGACUAUAAUUAGUCUUGUAGCUUACUCGCUUAUGCUAUUUUACCUACGCUUAGGAUGUUGAAGAUGUAGCACAUCAU